rnacentral:rRNA from 1 species
GGCGGCCUUAGCGCGGUGGUCCCACCUGACCCCAUGCCGAACUCAGAAGUGAAACGCCGUAGCGCCGAUGGUAGUGUGGGGUCUCCCCAUGCGAGAGUAGGGAACUGCCAGGCAU